GUCAUUAUGUUCAAUGGGUUUAAAAAUCAACUUGCAUAAUGAUUUUUGGAUAUUGAAAAGCUUUUUAGAAAUCAAACAAGGCAAAUCAUUAUGCAUAUGAAAAGAUCGAUUUUAUUCCAUUUUUUAGGGUUUUAUGUGAUCACCAAUUUCAUGCAAAAAGCAAAAAGGGAAAAUAAUUGGAAAAACAAACAUUUAACAUGAAU
rnacentral:lncRNA from 1 species